GAACGGCAGCACGAUCUUCGGAUUGGUGGCGAGUGGCGCACGGGUGCGUAACGCGUAUAGAACCUACCCUUUACAGGGGGAUAGCCCNGGAGAAAUCCGGAUUAAUACCCCGUAGUACUGUGACCUGGCAUCGGGACACAGUUAAAGCUGAGGCGGUAAAGGAUGGCUAUGCGUCCUAUUAGCUAGAUGGCGAGGUAACGGCUCACCAUGGCUACGAUAGGUAGGGGCCCUGAGAGGGGGAUCCCCCACACUGGUACUGAGACACGGACCAGACUCCUACGGGAGGCAGCAGUGAGGAAUAUUGCGCAAUAAGGGAAACCCUGACGCAGCGACGCCGCGUGAGUGAGGAAGGCCUUCGGGUCGUAAAGCUCUGUCAGAAGGGAAGAAGUGCUAUAUAGCUAAUACCUAUGUAGUUUGACGGUACCUUCGGAGGAAGCACCGGCUAACUCCGUG
rnacentral:rRNA from 1 species